rnacentral:lncRNA from 1 species
UUUUUUUUUUUUUUUUUUUUUUUUAUUGGUGUUCAAUUUACUAACAUACAGAAUAACACCCAGUGCCCGUCACCCAUUCACUCCCACCCCCCGCCCUCCUCCCCUUCCACCACCCCUAGUUCGUUUCCCAGAGUUAGCAGUCUUUAUGUUCUGUCUCCCUUUCUGAUAUUUCCCACACAUUUCUUCUCCCUUCCCUUAUUUUCCCUUUCACUAUUAUUUAUAUUCCCCAAAUGAAUGAGAACAUAUAAUGUUUGUCCUUCUCCGACUGACUUACUUCACUCAGCAUAAUACCCUCCAGUUCCAUCCACGUUGAAGCAAAUGGUGGGUAUUUGUCAUUUCUAAUAGCUGAGUAAUAUUCCAUUGUAUACAUAAACCACAUCUUCUUUAUCCAUUCAUCUUUCGUUGGACACCGAGGCUCCUUCCACAGUUUGGCUAUCGUGGCCAUUGCUGCUAGAAACAUCGGGGUGCAGGUGUCCCAGCGUUUCAUUGCAUUUGUAUCUUUGGGGUAAAUCCCCAACAGUGCAAUUGCUGGGUCGUAGGGCAGGUAUAUUUUUAACUGUUUGAGGAACCUCCACACAGUUUUCCACAGUGGCUGCACCAGUUCACAUUCCCACCAACAGUGUAAGAGGGUUCCCUUUUCUCCACAUCCUCUCCAACAUUUGUUGUUUCCUGCCUUGUUAAUUUUUCCCAUUCUCACUGGUGUGAGGUGGUAUCUCAUUGUGGUUUUGAUUUGUAUUUCCCUGAUGGCAAGUGAUGCAAGCAUUUUCUCAUGUGCAUGUUGGCCAUGUCUAUGUCUUCUUCUGUGAGAUUUCUGUUCAUGUCUUUUGCCCAUUUCAUGAUUGGAUUGUUUGUUUCUUUGGUGUUGAGUUUAAUAAGUUCUUUAUAGAUCUUGGAAACUAGCCCUUUAUCUGAUAUGUCAUUUGCAAAUAUCUUCUCCCAUUCUGUAGGUUGUCUUUGAGUUUUGUUGACUGUAUCCUUUGCUGUGCAAAAGCUUCUUAUCUUGAUGAAGUCCCAAUAGUUCAUUUUUGCUUUUUGUUUCUUUUGCCUUCGUGGAUGUAUCUUGCAAGAAGUUACUAUGGCCGAGUUCAAAAAGGGUGUUGCCUGUGUUCUUCUCUAGGAUUUUGAUGGAAUCUUGUCUCACAUUAGAUCUUUCAUCCAUUUUGAGUUUAUCUUUGUGUAUGGUGAAAAGAGUGGUCUAGUUUCAUUCUUCUGCAUGUGGAUGUCCAAAUUUUUCCCAGCACCAUUUAUUAAAGAGACUGUCUUUUUCCAAUGGAUAGUCUUUCCCUCCUUUAUCGAAUAUUAGUUCCCCAAAAAGUUCAGGGUCCACUUCUGGAUUCUCUAUUCUGUUCCACUGUCUUGUGUCUGUUUUUGUGCCAGUACCACACUUCUUGAUGACCACAGCUUUGUAGUACAACCUGAAAUCUGGCUUUGUGAUCCCCCCAGAUAUGGUUUUUUUUUUUUAAAAUUCCCCUGGCUAUUCGGGUCUUUUCUGAUUCCACACAAAUCUUAAAAUUUUUUCUAACUCUCUAAAAGAAAGUCCAUGGUUUUUUGAUAGGGAUUGCAUUAAAUGUGAAAUUUGCCCUGGGUAACAUUGAUUUUUCACAAUUUUAAUUCUGCCAAUCCAUGAGCAGGGAAUAUUUUUCCAUCUCUUUGUGUUUUCCUCAAUUUCUUUCAGAAGUGUUCUAUAGUUUUGAGGGUAUAGAUCCUU